GUGCUCGCUUUGGCAGCACACAUACUAAAAUUGAAACAAAACAGAGAUUAGCAUGGUCCCUGCGCAAGGAUGACACACAGAUUCAUGAAGCAUUCCAUAUUAAA